GACGAACGCUGGCGGCGUGCUUAACACAUGCAAGUCGAACGGAAAGGCCCUGCUUUUGUGGGGUGCUCGAGUGGCGAACGGGUGAGUAACACGUGAGUAACCUGCCCUUGACUUUGGGAUAACUUCAGGAAACUGGGGCUAAUACCGGAUAGGAGCUCCUGCUGCAUGGUGGGGGUUGGAAAGUUUCGGCGGUUGGGGAUGGACUCGCGGCUUAUCAGCUUGUUGGUGGGGUAGUGGCUUACCAAGGCUUUGACGGGUAGCCGGCCUGAGAGGGUGACCGGCAACAUUGGGACUGAGAUAAGGCCCAGACUCCUACGGGAGGAAGCAGUGGGGAAUAUUGCACAAUGGGCGGAAGCCUGAUGCAGCAACGCCGCGUGCGGGAUGACGGCCUUCGGGUUGUAAAACGCUUUCGCCUGUGACGAAGCGUGAGUGACGGUAAUGGGUAAAGAAGCACCGGCUAACUACGUG
rnacentral:rRNA from 1 species